rnacentral:rRNA from 1 species
GAUGAACGCUAGCUACAGGCUUAACACAUGCAAGUUGAGGGGAAACGGCAUUAAGUGCUUGCACUUUUUGGACGUCGACCGGCGCACGGGUGAGUAACGCGUAUCCAACCUUCCCAUGACUAAGGGAUAACCUGCCGAAAGGCAGACUAAUACCUUAUGGUCUUCACUGACGGCAUCAGAUGUGAAGUAAAGAUUUAUCGGUUAUGGAUGGGGAUGCGUCUGAUUAGCUUGUUGGCGGGGUAACGGCCCACCAAGGCAACGAUCAGUAGGGGUUCUGAGAGGAAGGUCCCCCACAUUGGAACUGAGACACGGUCCAAACUCCUACGGGAGGCAGCAGUGAGGAAUAUUGGUCAAUGAGCGAGAGCCUGAACCAGCCAAGUAGCGUGCAGGAUGACGGCCCUAUGGGUUGUAAACUGCUUUUGUAUGGGGAUAAAGUCAAUCACGUGUGAUUGUUUGAAGGUACCAUACGAAUAAGGACCGGCUAAUUCCGUG